GAAGAGUUAGUAUACAUAUUACCCGCCCUUGUCAAGAGCGAAAUAUAGGACUCCAGCCCUUUACUCUUCU
rnacentral:tRNA from 1 species